rnacentral:rRNA from 1 species
UACGUAGGGACCGAGCGUUAUCCGGAUUCAUUGGGCGUAAAGAGCUCGUAGGCGGUCUGUUGCGUCGGCUGUGAAACCCGGGCUCAACCCCGGGCCUGCAGCCGAUACGGCAGACUAGAGUUCGGCAGGGGAGACUGGAAUUCCUGGUGUAGCGGUGAAAUGCGCAGAUAUCAGGAGGAACACCGGUGGCGAAGGCGGUCUCUGGGAAUGUCCUGACGCUGAGGAGCGAAAGCAUGGGUAGCGAACAGG